AACCUCCGCAAUGUGAGAAAUCGCGACGGGGGGAUCCCAAGUGCCAUUCUUAACGGGAUGGCUUUUCAUUAGUGUAAAGAGCUUUUGGAAUAAGAGCUGGGCAAGACCGGCGCCAGCCGCCGCGGUAACACCGGCAGCUCUAGUGGUAACAAUUUUUAUUGGGCCUAAAGCGUCCGUAGCCGGUUUAAUAAGUCUCUGGUGAAAUCCUGCAGCUUAACUGUGGGAAUUGCUGGAGAUACUAUUAGACUUGGGACCGGGAGAGGUUAGAGGUACUCCCAGGGUAGAGGUGAAAUUCUGUAAUCCUGGGAGGACCGCCUGUUGCGAAGGCGUCUAACUGGAACGGUUCUGACGGUGAGGGACGAAAGUUAGGGGCGCGAACCGGAUUAGAUACCCGGGUAGUCCUAACUGUAACGAUGCGGACUUGGUGUUGGGGUGGCUUUGAGCUGCUUCAGUGCUGAAGGGAAGCUGUUAAGUCCGCCGCCUGGGAAGUACGGUCGCAAGACUGAAACUUAAAGGAAUU
rnacentral:rRNA from 1 species